UACGUAGGUCCCGAGCGUUGUCCGGAUUUAUUGGGCGUAAAGCGAGCGCAGGUGGUUUAUUAAGUCUGGCGUAAAAGGCAGUGGCUCAACCAUUGUAUGCAUUGGAAACUGGUAGACUUGAGUGCAGGAGAGGAGAGUGGAAUUCCAUGUGUAGCGGUGAAAUGCGUAGAUAUAUGGAGGAACACCGGUGGCGAAAGCGGCUCUCCGGCCUGUAACUGACACUGAGGCUCGAAAGCGUGGGGAGCAAACAGG
rnacentral:rRNA from 1 species